rnacentral:rRNA from 1 species
AUUGAACGCUGGCGGCAGGCCUAACACGUGCAAGUCGAGCGGAUGAAGGGAGCUUGCUCCUGGAUUCAGCGGCGGACGGGUGAGUAAUGCCUAGGAAUCUGCCUGGUAGCGGGGGAUAACGUCCGGAAACGGGCGCUAAUACCGCAUACGUCCUGAGGGAGAAAGUGGGGGAUCUUCGGACCUCACGCUAUCAGAUGAGCCUAGGUCGGAUUAGCUAGUUGGUGGGGUAAAGGCCUACCAAGGCGACGAUCCGUAACUGGUCUGAGAGGAUGAUCAGUCACACUGGAACUGAGACACGGUCCAGACUCCUACGGGAGGCAGCAGUGGGGAAUAUUGGACAAUGGGCGAAAGCCUGAUCCAGCCAUGCCGCGUGUGUGAAGAAGGUCUUCGGAUUGUAAAGCACUUUAAGUUGGGAGGAAGGGCAGUAAGUUAAUACCUUGCUGUUUUGACGUUACCAACAGAAUAAGCACCGGCUAACUUCGUG